GAUGAAGAACGUAGCGAAAUGCGAUAAGUAGUGUGAAUUGCAGAAUUCAGUGAAUCAUCGAAUCUUUGAACGCACAUUGCGCCCCUUGGUAUCCCGAGGGGCAUGCCUGUUCGAGCGUCAUUUCACCACUCAAGCCUGGCUUGGUGUUGGGCGACGUCCUCUUUGGGGACGCGCCUCGAAACGCUCGGCGGCGUGGCACCGGCUUUAAGCGUAGCAGAAUCUUUCGCUUUGGAAGUCGGGGCCCCGUCUGCCGGAAGACCUGCUCGCAAGGUUGAUCUCGGAUCAGGCAGGGAUACCCGCUGAACUUAAGCAUAUCAAUAAGCGGAGGA
rnacentral:misc_RNA from 1 species